rnacentral:rRNA from 1 species
CGUGCUAAUCUGCGAUAAGCGCCGGUAAGGUGAUAUGAACCGUUAUAACCGGCGAUACCCGAAUGGGGAAACCCAGUGUGACUCGUCACACUAUCAUUAACUGAAUCCAUAGGUUAAUGAGGCGAACCGGGGGAACUGAAACAUCUAAGUACCCCGAGGAAAAGAAAUCAACCGAGAUUCCCCCAGUAGCGGCGAGCGAACGGGGAGGAGCCCAGAGCCUGAAUCAGCAUGUGUGUUAGUGGAAGCGUCUGGAAAGGCGCGCGAUACAGGGUGACAGCCCCGUACACAAAAGCGCAUGUGCUGUGAGCUCGAUGAGUAGGGCGGGACACGUGGUAUCCUGUCUGAAUAUGGGGGGACCAUCCUCCAAGGCUAAAUACUCCUGACUGACCGAUAGUGAACCAGUACCGUGAGGGAAAGGCGAAAAGAACCCCGGCGAGGGGAGUGAAAAAGAACCUGAAACCGUGUACGUACAAGCAGUGGGAGCACAGGUUUACCUGUGUGACUGCGUACCUUUUGUAUAAUGGGUCAGCGACUUAUAUUCUGUAGCAAG